UACGUAGGGUGCGAGCGUUAAUCGGAAUUACUGGGCGUAAAGCGUGCGCAGGCGGUUUGUUAAGACAGAUGUGAAAUCCCCGGGCUUAACCUGGGAACUGCAUUUGUGACUGGCAAGCUAGAGUAUGGCAGAGGGGGAUGGAAUUCCGGCGUGUAGCAGUGAAAUGCGUAGAUAUGCGGAGGAACACCGAUGGCGAAGGCGGCCAUCUGGACGGAUACUGACGCUGAGACGCGAAAGCGUGGGGAGCAAACAGG
rnacentral:rRNA from 1 species